rnacentral:rRNA from 1 species
AGAGUUUGAUCCUGGCUCAGAUUGAACGCUGGCGGCAUGCCUUACACAUGCAAGUCGAACGGUAGCGGGCCUUCGGGUGCCGACGAGUGGCGAACGGGUGAGUAAUGUAUCGGAACGUACCAUUGAGUGGGGGAUAACGUAGCGAAAGUUACGCUAAUACCGCAUAUUCUCUCCGGAGGAAAGCAGGGGACCGCAAGGCCUUGCGCUCUUUGAGCGGCCGAUAUCAGAUUAGCUAGUUGGUGAGGUAAAGGCUCACCAAGGCGACGAUCUGUAGCGGGUCUGAGAGGAUGAUCCGCCACACUGGAACUGAGACACGGUCCAGACUCCUACGGGAGGCAGCAGUGGGGAAUUUUGGACAAUGGGGGCAACCCUGAUCCAGCCAUGCCGCGUGAGUGAAGAAGGCCUUCGGGUUGUAAAGCUCUUUCGGCCGGGAAGAAAUCGCAUGGGCUAAUACCCUGUGCGGAUGACGGUACCGGCAUAAGAAGCACCGGCUAACUACGUGCCAGCAGCCGCGGUAAUACGUAGGGUGCGAGCGUUAAUCGGAAUUACUGGGCGUAAAGCGUGCGCAGGCGGUUUUGUAAGACAGGCGUGAAAUCCCCGGGCUCAACCUGGGAACUGCGUUUGUGACUGCAAGGCUAGAGUACGGCAGAGGGGGGUGGAAUUCCACGUGUAGCAGUGAAAUGCGUAGAGAUGUGGAGGAACACCAAUGGCGAAGGCAGCCCCCUGGGUCGAUACUGACGCUCAUGCACGAAAGCGUGGGCAGCAAACAGGAUUAGAUACCCUGGUAGUCCACGCCCUAAACGAUGUCAACUAGGUGUUGGGUGGGUAAAACCAUUUAGUACCGGAGCUAACGCGUGAAGUUGACCGCCUGGGGAGUACGGCCGCAAGGUUAAAACUCAAAGGAAUUGACGG